AAUGCACAUGAACAGGAACAGAACCUGGGUAGGAUCAAGCAAUGAAGAUACCUUAUUAUUCGAGCCACACCGUAGAUCAACCAGAACCGGAAUUACAACAUCUUCACUGUAACCCAAACCCAUUACUUGCCGUUACGACCGCUUCCACAAACCCUCUAUCGAUACUCGAAACAACCAAAGAGAUUCCUCAGACGUAAGCCAAAACCUCUGCAAACAAGACUAAAUAGACAACUCUAAAAACCCGAUGAAGAAGAUGAACCAUGGAGCAGCAAACAAGAAGAUCUCGGCAAGAAUUGAGGCACCAAAAACAUAUCCGAACCCCAAACUCAAACAAAUCAGACCACCACCGCCGAUAUUACAGAGAGUCCACUAACCAAACCAGCACCACCUCCGUAACUCGGCCGAAAACACAAGCACAAGAGCUUCGACGUUGCUUCACUAUCAUCACUUCACGAAGAAGGUCACCAAAGAAACAAAUUGAAAAAAGAAAAGAAAUAAAGAAACUACAAGAGAGACAGAGAGGCUGAAUCCGGUGCUAGAAAAGCCACCCUGAUUCAGCCUCAGAUCGACAAUUUUUUUUUUAACUUCCGGCGGCUGUUUCUCGAGAGAGAAAGGAAAUUAGGUUUUGAGCCAAUUCUGUCACGGUAGGACUCUCCUAUAGGCUUGUUUUUAUUUU
rnacentral:lncRNA from 1 species